AGUGUACAUGUAACACCAGUGGAGAGAGAAUGAAGGAAAUAACACUGUAUGUCAUUAUUGUACUACACAUCUGGUCCUACGGUGUUAAAGCUCAAGAAUCUGGAAAAGGCUGUCAAAGACCUAAACUGGACAAUGGCUUUGUUGACCCGGAGCAGGAAAUGUACCAGGAUGGCACGACUUUGACUUAUGCCUGUGAUAGAGGUCUGAAGACACCAAUGGAAGGCUGGUGGGGGAUGAUUACAUGUGAGAAUGGUAGAUGGUCUGAUAGUCCUCUGUGUACGGCCAGUCGUUCUUGUGAUGCACCUCCUCAAGUGAACCAUGCAACCAUUGUUCAACAAUAUCAAAACAAGUUUAGUGAUGGAACAAAAGUGG